AUGUGCAUAUAUGCAUCCACCUUCUUUCUCUUCCAGCUGGAUGCUGCUGCUUGUCCAGUUAUCCUCGCUGCAUUUCUUUGCUUCAUUGAAUGGGCUCUGGUCGUUGAUAGUCAAAAGGAUACCCUAUGUUUAUGUUUACCAAAACAAAAAUAAACUAGGAUGGCCACUCUAUUUCAGGAUCAUUUGAAGUGAUAAUGUGCAUGUAUUAGUUGCAGGAAAUUUCAAUUUAUCAUAGUAGAGCUAUUAUGCUGUAGCACCACACCAUCUGCAGCCAAAAUUAAUCGGGGCCAUUUUUUUAAUGCAUGAGCCCUAUGAGACCUGAACUGUGUUCUGCUCAACAUUCAGAUCGAUCUGUUUUGUUUUUCCUCCUCUAUGUGAAGACUUGAGACUCAGUGGUCCUAGUUUUAUUUCAAAACUGUGGUCACAGGCUGAUAGCCUGUCUUAUUUUGUUUCUAUGUAGUGGGUGGUUCGAACAAUUAUGUAAAAAUAGCGUGUGCCGGAUUUUUUUUAAUUCAUUAUCUAAAAAUAUAGUGGGUGGAUCGGCUGGAGCAAUUAUUUAUUGGACAACUUGUUCAGACUGGAGCAGACUUCGGGGUUUCACUGAGCAGAUAGCUACAAGACCAAGCCGGCAGCAUCAUUUACUCUGCCUGCUCAAAGGAGGAAGAGGUGUGAAGCGAAGGCAAAGAGGAAACAAGUCUUGAAGAUUAUUGUUGUUGCAGUCAACCGCGCAAGAGCAAGAUGGCCGAUAUUGCAUUUGGCAGCGUAGCGAAGAUCGUCGAAAUCGCGCUCAAGAUCAAGGAAGGAGUGAAGACGGUUAAGCAGAACCAGGAGGAGUGCCGCGACAUCCAGAGGUGUGUUGCCAGGGUCAGCGCUCUCCUCAAGAAGCUUGACGAGAUGACGGAGACGAUGAAGGACGAAGCGAUGCGUGACGCGCUGGAGGAUCUAGCCGAAUCCCUGGAACACGCCCUCGAGCUCGUCACGGAGUGCCAGCGGAAGCACGUCUUUCGCCUCUUCUUGGGAGCAGGGGACAUGGCCAAGGAGCUGCGCCGGGUGCAGGACGAUAUAGUGAGGAAACUGCAGCUGGGGAACUGCGCCACCAAUGUCUAGACCACCAUCAUGCUGACAAACAUCCAAUCUGCUGGUGGUCCUCCUCCUCCACCCCCACUCCCACUCCCACAGGACAUGCUUAUCGAUGACUUUACAAUAUUCAGUUUAUCUGAACUGAAGGCCGCUACAGAGAACUUUUCAGAAGAAAAGAAGAUUGGAAGUGGUGGCUUUGGUGAUGUUUACAAGGUAAUCGUAUCCGUUACUUGGUUUGUGUACUUUUCCAUAUAUCACGUAGGCAUUCACUACUUGAACAUUUCCUCUACAGGAAGAGGCAGGUUAAGACCAUACCAAAUAUUUUUCAUGUAGCAGUGCAAGGAAUUUCCAAUUAAAAAUUUGUACAAGUUUUCUGUCCCAAAGGUCAAGGAAUAUUUAUCUACCUAUCCCCAUCACCUACGAAACCAAUUAGCAUACACCACGAAUUAUCCAAACCAUCUAAAAAUAACCCCUAGGGUGGUUUUAGAAGUGAUUUUUUCCCUACACAGAGUUACAUGCUGAUAACGACAUGUCAAAGACAUGUUUGUAAACCUACUUAGUUCACCCGUAAACUUCAUAUCGCAAAGCAGACAAAUUUAUAGGAAAGAUAUAAUAGCAGUGAGAGGUUGCAGAUAGUGAAAAAUAAGACUCGGCUCUUAAAAAACACCAGUGGAUAGAAAGUUAAGGUUGCUGAAAAUUGGACAUUAUGCUUUUUAUUGGAAAAAUGUAUGCAAUCUUUCAAUUUGCAACAAUGCAAACAGUCAACUAUAUAGAGCCGGCUAGCAUCACCCCAUCCUUAACCAUCUUCAAUAUUACUCUAGCAGACAUGUUUUCACCAGCGAACGGGUGCUUAGCCGGAGUGGUUAGGUGGCCUUAGUAACACCCCUCAGGUCCUGGGUCCGACUCCCCGUGGGAGCGAAUUUUAGGCUGAGGUUAAAAAAAGUCACUCGCUGGUUCCCUUGGUCGGCAUGCGUGAACCGACCUAUGGUGGGCGGGCUCUCGUGCUAGGGGCUGGUCCUGGGUUGGGCCUCAAAGCACGAGUAAAGGCCCGAACCAUAGGGGGCGGCAUCCCCAUGUAUGAGGAGGCUAGCUUUCGUGACUUUUCUCGACCGGGCUCCGGUUGAGCUCUUCUUAAUGUAAUACCGGGGGGGGCGGUCUUUCCCCCACCAGCCGAGAUUUUUUUAGCCCACUUUCUAAAUCUCAAUCACAUCUUGGCAAUAUAUUGUGUCCUCCAAUAGCUCUGAUAAGUCAUCCUUUGUGACAUUUUAGCUUCGGCUCAUUAGCAAGGGAGUUUGGGGAGGUGAAAUAUCUUUGGUGGGUUGUUAUAAAAAUUUCUAGUUGUAUUGGGCCCAGUUUCUACGUCCCUCGAAGUUGGUCACUCGUUCCUAGUGCAACUCCCAAUUGAAAGCAUCUCAAAAAUUCAAACCCCGACCGAAGCACACACAUUGUGAUCAUGCUUCAUUCCAGCCCAAAGCCAAAGAUGAAACUUGGAUUAAGAUUUUGAAGCCUGAGGCCAGGGCGCCAUUGAACUUUUGGCGAAACUAUGCUCCAUCUGACAUGGUACGGUGUGUACACUUCUCAGGGUGUUCUGCAAGACGGACAAGUCGUUGCCAUAAAAAUAUUGUUUUCUAGUCAUACCAUUGAGGAGAGCCGGCUAUAUGAUGAAAUUAAUGUUUUUGUAGAUCUGAAGCACAAAAACAUAAUUAGACCUCUGGGAUAUUGCCACGAAAUCAAAAUGUCCUUGUGCAGGCCUAGGGGUAACAGAAAAUGUCUUGGAGUUAGCACCGUAGAAUUUUGUUUCGUAGAAGAAUACAUGGAAAACAGCUCCAUACAUUCAAUGGGUCUCAACUUAUUGAUUGGUCCUGCCGCUUCAAAAUGGUUCACGGAAUAGCCCAGGGGCUACAUUACCUACAUGAGCAACGUGUCGUCCAUCUGGAUCUGAAACCAGAUAACAUCCUCUUCGAUUCGGAUAUGAAUCCUCGGAUCAGUGAUUUUGACAUAGCUAAAAAGUUGGGCCUUGAUGAUGAAGAAUCCAUGAUUGGCACACCGCUUUUGAAUCUCGGGAUGAUGUACGGAUGGAGUUGUUUAAACCGUCAUUGUGUUGCGAGUCUGAGCUAAUACAGAUCAAGAAGUGCAUGGAGGUAGGGCGCUUGUGUGUUGAGAUGAACAAGGAAGACAGGCCCACCAUUGAGGAUGUGCUUGGGAUGCUAAAUGGCGUGAAAGAGUUGCCGGCUCCAAAGCAGCCACGGGGCGUAGACUUAGCGCGGAAGCGGCCCUCCAACCUUAUUUGUCCGGAAUCAGGAUCGCUUGUGCCUCUUGUUGUCCCUAAGGAAGAAACGUGUGCCUCUGGCGACGUGGCUUGACCGCUUGAAUUACUUUUUACUCUCCCUUCUCGCUUGUAUUGAAAAAGACGGCCGGACACGUAACACUAACACGUCCUCAAUUGUCUAGAAUUUUUGUGGUCAGGCCAUCCUUAAUGCAAGAUUUCAUGUUUAUAUUUUCAAGAAUGAUAUAUAAUUGAAUUAAGUAA